AGUUACUCAGUUAUGUGCAAUAUUGGCGAACAUCUUGUGAAAAUGUCUUCAGUCAUUUCGCAUAAAUUUGUCAUACCUAUUCUUUAAUAAAACAC